GAUGAACGCUAGCUACAGGCUUAACACAUGCAAGUCGCGGGGCAGCAUGGGGGUUGCUUGCACUCUCCGAUGGCGACCGGCGCACGGGUGAGUAACGCGUAUCCAACCUUCCCUUCACCACGGGAUAACCCGGCGAAAGUCGGACUACUACCGUACGUUGUCCAUUGACGGCAUCCGACUUUCGCGCAAGGUGUCGCGGUGUGGGAUGGGGAUGGGUCAGAUUGGAGGGGCGGUGGGGGGACGGCCCACCGUGGCGACGUUCGGUAGGGGAGCUGAGAGGAAGGCCCCCCACACUGGAACUGCGACACGGUCCACACUCCUACGGGGGGCAGCAGUAAGGAAUACUGGUGGAUGGGCGUAAGCCCGAACCAGCCAAGUAGAGUGCAGGAGGACGGCGCUAUGGGUUGUAAACUGGUUUUAUGCGGGGAUAAAGUGGCCCUCGUGUGGGUUUUUGAAGGUACCGCAUGAAUAAGGACCGGCUAAUUCCGUG
rnacentral:rRNA from 1 species